rnacentral:tRNA from 1 species
UGGUGAGGUGUCCGAGUGGCUGAAGGAGCACGCCUGGAAAGUGUGUAUAUGCGCAAGUGUAUCGAGGGUUCGAAUCCCUUCCUCACCGUC